CUGGUGUGCUAGUUCUCAUCUUCUGUGGUGUGCGGUAGUGCCGAGUUUUUUGUUCCUAGAGAGCCUGUGGAAGCUCUUGUUGUCAACGUGAUCUGGUCUCCGUUUUUCUUCAGUUUAUCUAUGGUUAAAGGCCGGCAAUACGACAUUUAUGGUUGAACGACUAGAGCCACCAUUGCGUCGACGGGCAAUUCCAAUUUUUCUAGUGCAAUUGCUAUUGCAGCUAGUCCAGGCUGGUAUUGUUCGACAAGCAGAGGCGAGGUGUUGGAUUUUUGUGUUUCUUCUCCUUAGGUGAAGGGAAAAAGUGCGGUGCGUAGAGCUUGGAGGGGCGGAAGCAGUUGGCCGUUUGACGUCAUUGCUCUAUGUCCUUUUUAUGGGAGCACUGCGGUGCAGUAGUCCCCCCUUGUUUUUUUUUUUUAUCCUUCUGUACAACUACAAGGUGCUGUUGAGGCGCUGCGGUGUAACAGCUUGUUAGUCAACGUGGAAGCUUGGACUGCAACGGACUUUUUUCUCUAUGGUGUUUUUUUUGACAUCAGUGUGGCUGUGGCAGUGCUACGGUGGUGAUCAAAGUGCAGUUCGGCUUGUUUUGUUCCAAUUGGAACCCGUUCACGUUCAUUGUGGUUGUGCGGAGCUUGGAAAUCUUGCGUGAUUUAAGAAAAAAUCACAGCAAGAAGAGGUCACCUAGAGUUUCAUUGAGUAGCACAAUGGUUAUGCUAGAUUGAAGAGCUACUACAAUUAAUCGCUAUUAAUAGAAACUCUGAUUUGCUCUAAAUGUUUUAGUAUUGUUUAAGGGUGUAGAUCUGAAAUUAUGUUUGAAUUUGUGCUCUCCUAUGAAUAUCCAAUGAUGAGGAUUAUCUAAUCAUAAUAGAAUAAAUUAGCAUUGUGUUUACUCAGCUCUUGGAAUUUUCAGGUCGGUAAUCUUGUAGAGGGAGUUGGAAAGGGCAUCACAUAUCUUGUUGUUUUUUUAUGAACUUACGUAAUACAUAAUAGAAGCAGAUCAAAGCGAUUGGAGCAGCCUUUCUUAUUGAUAGUAACUUCAAGCUGCAACAGCACGGUGGUGGAGGCACGGCGGCAUGUUUUCCCAACAAUGGUGGAAUAAAGCUUUAGAAGGCAACAUGGAGACUGACGUUACAAAGUCAGAAUCAAAGAGAACAGGAGUGAGCUAGUGGCAUUGCAGCUUGGCCAUCUUUAGAGUCAAAAUCUUUACUGCAGAGGCUGAAGAAGGCAAUGCUGCAGAGGCAGAGAAGCUUGUCUCAAAACCAGUCAAGGCUACAUCCUUGAUCAUCUUUGUAAGAAUUCAAGCAAGAUCAAUUAGGUUGAUGAUAUAGUACUAAAUGAACCCAGUAAAGGUAGAUGAACUAGGGUUAGAGUUGAACUAGGUUAGUUAGAUGAAUAAUUGAAUUGGAUGAAAUUGAUUAAAGAUGAAUUCUGAAACCAAAAUGAAGUAUGUGAAUGAAAUUUUUAUUCAAAGA